GAACAUUGACACUGCACACCUUCGAAUCUGGACAUCUCUGGGCAUUUCAUUAAAGUAGGCCAGGUCAGUGGUCUCUAUGUGAACUGUGAAAACCUUGCCGAGCAGUAAUGGCAUCGUGUGGCUCCUGAUGCCUGCCUUCAGACUUUGGAUCCUGCACAUAUGAAAACCUAAACUGCUGGAAAUAUCCUAGGAGAUGCUGGAGCCACCAAAUGUUUUCAACUUUAUCUUCAACCUUAUCUUUCAAACCAGUGAUUAGAUCGAAAGAAGAUGCCAUGUCCAAGAGAAUAUACCCUAUUUAUGUUCUAAGAGGAGACAGCAAACACUGGAUUUCUGGCUGUUUGAGAAAUUUCGCUGUAACCAAAAUGACCAUUAGAGGGAGCCCAGAUCUUGUGAGACCAUGAAACUCUGGAGCUGUAAGAACCGUCUACAAGAG